rnacentral:rRNA from 1 species
GAUGAACGCUAGCGGCAGGCCUAAUACAUGCAAGUCGAACGGUGUCUUCGGACAUAGUGGCGCACGGGUGCGUAACACGUAUGCAACCUACCUUACAUUGGGGGAUAGCCUUUCGAAAGGGAGAUUAAUACCGCAUAAGACAGUAGCUGGGCAUCCAGCAGCUGUUAAAGAUUUAUCGAUGUAAGCUGGGCAUGCGUCCAAUUAGCUAGUUGGUGAGGUAGCGGCUCACCAAGGGAAUGAUUGGUAGGGGAACUGAGAGGUCAAUCCCCCACACUGGCACUGAGAUACGGGCCAGACUCCUACGGGAGGCAGCAGUAGGGAAUAUUGGGCAAUGGACGCAAGUCUGACCCAGCCAUGCCGCGUGCAGGAUGAAGGCGUUAUGCGUUGUAAACUGCUUUUAUACAGGAAGAAACGACUCUUGCGAGAGGCAUUGACGGUACUGUAUGAAUAAGCACCGGCUAACUCCGUGCCAGCCGCCGCCGUAAUAC